rnacentral:snRNA from 1 species
AUCACUCCUCGGCCUUUUGGCUAAGAUCAAGUGUAGUAUCUGAUUGUGAUUUACUCACAAUAAAUAAAACUCGCUUUUUACCAUUUAUCAUGUGUUUGCAUUCUUUAUUUAAUAGCCAGUUUCAAAUUCUUUCCAUUCAUGAGGGUAGGCCUU